CCAGCAGCAAGUGAUUAAAGUAAGUGUGGUGUGGUCUCCCUGUUUCUACUCAGGGGAGGUAAAUAUUGUGCUAUGUACCUUUAUAAUUGUUGCUCUUAGACAUCAGCUUUAUCAAUAUUUGCUGGGC